AACGAACGCUGGCGGCAUGCCUAACACAUGCAAGUCGAACGAUUGCCUUCGGGUGAUAGUGGCGCACGGGUGCGUAACGCGUGGGAAUCUGCCCUUAGGUUCGGAAUAACAGCUGGAAACGGCUGCUAAUACCGGAUGAUAUCGCGAGAUCAAAGAUUUAUCGCCUGAGGAUGAGCCCGCGUUGGAUUAGGUAGUUGGUGGGGUAAAGGCCUACCAAGCCGACGAUCCAUAGCUGGUCUGAGAGGAUGAUCAGCCACACUGGGACUGAGACACGGCCCAGACUCCUACGGGAGGCAGCAGUGGGGAAUAUUGGACAAUGGGCGCAAGCCUGAUCCAGCAAUGCCGCGUGAGUGAUGAAGGCCCUAGGGUUGUAAAGCUCUUUUACCCGGGAAGAUAAUGACUGGACCGGGAGAAUAAGCCCCGGCGAACUCCGU
rnacentral:rRNA from 1 species